AUUUUCUUGAAGAAUCAACAUAAACAGAGACAGGGUUUCAAGAGUUACUGUUUUUCUUCCACUAAGAGCUGUGAAGGGACAAAAUCAAGUGAACCACUAUGUACCUUGCUAUCUAGUUUAGUUGAGGAGGGACAGGUUUUUUUUUUUUUUUUUUUUUUAACAUUGAACAAUCAUUCAAAUAAAAUAAGGAAACAGUUCACUGGAAUCAAAGAGCAGAGAUCCUAUUUCAUGUUCUACUUCAACCUUCUAAUGCCUGAAAUCUGUUUGCACUGUACUGCAAGUCAGUUUCCCUGUGGGAUUGCUGUAGUCAGGUGCAAGGUAAAUUUGAAUGCCUUUCGGUCCAUUUUUUUCAAACUGAGUUAUGUCCUGAGGCACCCAGUGUUUCACACAGUGUACGAAAUAUUAGGGUUCUGGAUUCUCUUGGGAAGAAGAUAUUAUUAAAAAUCCAAAUGCUUCACUGUUUCUGAUCAGGAAUAUAGUGUAGUGUUUUAUUGUUUUAAAUUAUUAUUAUUAUUAUUACUAUUUCACUCUAUGAAAUGGAUUAGUAGCAUUUUUUUAUUACUAUAAUUCCAUUUUUUUUUUCAGCGGAAACAGAUACAGACUCAGAUAAUGCUCACGAACAGAAUGAAAAAGAAGAAAAAACAGUUUCUUGUUAUUCUCACUGUUGUCUGGCUUAUGUUAGAUUUACACUUCAUUGGACUAAAAAUCAUGUUGAGCACUGUUUUGCAUAAAUAUUCUUUAAACACCUCAGUGAUUUCACUGUCAUAAAACAGAGCCUGAACUGGAUCUUCUUGUCAGGUAGACCAAAUAGGAGGAUCAUGUGGAAGAAUGAUGGAAUGUUGGAAUGAUGUUUGAAUAUGAUAUUAGAGAAUCAUUUAUUGCCAGCUUGGAGAAGAACUGACUGAAGUGUUUAAAACUAGCUUUGUUCUUUUUGAACCUCAUCAUAUGUUAAAAAGGUAGAUGAUUCAAGUUGAAGAUGAAAGACUGAGAACUGUCUUAUCUCUAUCUUCAAAAUCGAUAUAGAGAAAAAAAUCUUAUUCUCACUACCAUCUGUAGUACAUCUAAUGUUAAUUUUAAAAAUAUUUUCCUGUAAUUUUUUUUGCUGCAGGAAAUAUUUUCUUCCACUGAUAUUAUUUAUUUGAAUGAAUUGCUGUUUUGGGAGAAUAUAUAUGUUCUGCAAGUAAUCACAUGCACAUUCAGAGAGGCUAAUAUACAUUGGGUAUUCCUAGAUAUAUAAGUUUUUUGAAAAAUAUGCACUAGUUUUACAUAGAUUUUGCUGUUUAUGGUUUCUAACCAUACAGAGCAUGAGUCAUGUAAUUGCAGUAUGCUUUUAUUUCUGUAUCUCUACUUUCUACUCUGUGGCUAGUCCACUUAAAAGCCAUAUUACUUUUAUGAACUUUCAUAUUAAAGGCAGCAUAGGUUUUGUGGUCUAAAAGUUUGU
rnacentral:lncRNA from 1 species